rnacentral:rRNA from 2 species
CAGACCUCUAAUCGGAAAAGACUACCCGCUGAGUUUAAGCAUAUCACUAAGC